rnacentral:rRNA from 1 species
GAUGAACGCUGGCGGCGUGCCUAAUACAUGCAAGUCGAGCGAACAGACGAGGAGCUUGCUCCUCUGACGUUAGCGGCGGACGGGUGAGUAACACGUGGAUAACCUACCUAUAAGACUGGGAUAACUUCGGGAAACCGGAGCUAAUACCGGAUAAUAUAUUGAACCGCAUGGUUCAAUAGUGAAAGACGGUUUUGCUGUCACUUAUAGAUGGAUCCGCGCCGCAUUAGCUAGUUGGUAAGGUAACGGCUUACCAAGGCCACGAUGCGUAGCCGACCUGAGAGGGUGAUCGGCCACACUGGACCUGAGACACGGUCCAGACUCCUACGGCAGGCAGCAGUAGGGAAUCUUCCGCAUAGGGCGCAAGCCUGACGGAGCAACGCCGCGUGAGUGAUGAAGGUCUUCGGAUCGUAAAACUCUGUUAUUAGGGAAGAACAAAUGUGUAAGUAACUAUGCACGUCUUGACGGUACCUAAUCAGAAAGCCACGGCUAACUACGUG